UUUGUGUUUUUUUUUCUUCUUCUUUUCUUUCUCUUUCCAUUUCUCUUUUCUUUUCUCUUUUUCUUUUUUCUUUUUCUCUUACCUUGCUUCUUUCUCUUUACAAAAGAGAAGAGAAGCACUUCUUCGAUUCAGCUCGAAGGCGUGCACCCUUUCGAAUUACCACGGUUCGAUUCACAUCUGCAACACCAAUGUACAGGAAAAGUACGAGGAGGAGAUGAAGAGAUGAAGAGAAAAAGGGCGACGUAGAAAUUCUCAGAGAAUCGAGAAGUCGAUGCACCGCCACGUUGGAAUGGGAUUGCGAGAAGCUGAACGAAUAUUUAAAGAAAUGUGUUACGUAAAAUUUCAAUUUUACGACGACGACGACGACGACGACUAUGAAGACCGACGAUGGGACUAAUGGGACUAAUGGGACCGACGAUGAUGACCGAAUGGAAUCGACGAUCGAAGGAACGAAGGAAGAAAAGAUGGAAGGAAGGAAGGAAGGAAGGAAGGAAGGAAGGAUGGGUUGGAAGGAAGUCGAGACAACGGUAACGCUAAUGGUUUAGAUUCUUCUUCCUUGAUUCUAGAUCUGUAGGAUAGGUUUGCAAUCGACAGUCAGAGUUUCGUUCUCCGAUUAAACAAGUUGUGAGUUUCUGUAGAGAAGGCAAAUCGCCUGUGGGUAUAGGAAAGAAAGCUUAACGGAGUGCCGUUGUAAUCGUUGAGUUCGAGUUGAUUGCAGUCCGAGAACGGCAAAUGUUCGUGCACUUCUUUUCACCGGUGAAUCUCAAAAGUACCUCCUUUGGUCCUUUGAUAGAAACAAACACUUCUGAGUAAUUGCUAUUUACUGUUUGAUCAUUUGCGCUCAUACGAAUAUAUUUUUUCUUUCUCUCUUUUCUUUUCUUUUUCUUUUUUCUUUUUUUUUUACACAUUAUGAAAAUUGGAUUUUGCAAAUUUAUUAGACUUUGAUUUUCUUUGAAUUUUAAUUGUUAUACAUGAAGCGAAAAUUAAGAUCAUCGAGUAAUUAUUGCUCGAUCAUUUGCGAUUUAUUUAUUUCUUCUUUUCUUUUAUUUAUUGUUU